rnacentral:rRNA from 1 species
GCAAGUCGAGCGGCAGCGACUUAACUGAACCUUCGGGGAACGUUAAGGGCGGCGAGCGGCGGACGGGUGAGUAAUGCCUGGGAAUAUGCCCUGAUGUGGGGGAUAACUAUUGGAAACGAUAGCUAAUACCGCAUAAUCUCUUCGGAGCAAAGAGGGGGACCUUCGGGCCUCUCGCGUCAGGAUUAGCCCAGGUGGGAUUAGCUUGUUGGUGAGGUAAUGGCUCACCAAGGCAACGAUCCCUAGCUGGUCUGAGAGGAUGAUCAGCCACACUGGAACUGAGACACGGUCCAGACUCCUACGGGAGGCAGCAGUGGGGAAUAUUGCACAAUGGGGGAAACCCUGAUGCAGCCAUGCCGCGUGUGUGAAGAAGGCCUUCGGGUUGUAAAGCACUUUCAGUAGGGAGGAAGGUAGUGUAGUUAACACCUGCAUUAUUUGACGUUACCUACAGAAGAAGCACCGGCUAACUCCGUGCCAGCAGCCGCGGUAAUACGGAGGGUGCGAGCGUUAAUCGGAAUUACUGGGCGUAAAGCGCAUGCAGGCGGCCUGUUAAGUCAGAUGUGAAAGCCCGGGGCUUAACCUCGGAAUUGCAUUUGAAACUGGCAGGCUAGAGUCUUGUAGAGGGGG